UAUCCUGGAAACUGGGCUCCAGUUGGCUGAUGCAAACAAGACUCGUGGGUUCCCGAGAGCUUUCGGGUACGUAAACUAAAAAGGGGUGAUCAGUUUCAGCUCAAAAAUUCCCAUGGCCCAGAGCCCGAGUACACAAAGCAGCUGUUCCUACUCGUGGGGCCUCAAGGAAGGGGAGGAUGAUGGGAGAAGACGAGCAACUAACUACAAGCCCCAGCACGCAAUGCGCCAUUUGGCUCCUGGAAAGAGGCCCGCGGUGCAGCGCGGUUCAGUGCGGUUCAGUAUCGGCCCGCAAUGCGGGCCGAGCGCGAGAUGCCGACUGUCCUCCAACCAGAAUGCUCAGAAUGAGGAAGACAGGCGUGGCGCUGUGAGCGAGCCCUUAGAUCUCGUAUCCAGGACUCUCCCUGUUUCUCCCUAGCUCCUGGCAUGCUAGGUAGCGGUGUCUCUGUACGCCAGACUAUUCCCCACAGGCCGGCAUCGGGCCUCCGAGGUCCUAGAGCCUACGGGGUUGCCACGGAAUGCCCGGAGCCGGAUGUGACGUCGCCGUGGAGGAAGAAGGGAGAGGUGGAGCGUGGCGCGGUGACGUCCUUCCAAGAUGGCGGAGAGAGAGUGAGGAAACUGUGUUCCCCUUUGGAUUGCUAUAGAACAAGGGUAAAAUUCGAUUCUGAUAUCAAAAUGCAGUAUUCGCACCACUGUGAGCACCUUUUAGAGAGACUGAACAAACAACGGGAAGCAGGUUUUCUUUGUGACUGCACCAUAGUAAUUGGGGAAUUCCAGUUUAAAGCUCAUAGGAAUGUGCUUGCCUCGUUUAGUGAGUAUUUUGGUGCGAUCUACAGAAGCACUUCAGAGAACAAUGUCUUUCUUGAUCAGAGUCAGGUGAAGGCUGAUGGAUUUCAGAAACUGUUGGAAUUUAUAUACACAGGAACUCUAAAUCUUGACAGUUGGAAUGUUAAAGAAAUCCAUCAGGCUGCUGACUAUCUCAAAGUGGAAGAGGUGGUCACUAAAUGUAAAAUAAAGAUGGAAGAUUUUGCUUUUAUUGCUAAUCCCUCUUCUACAGAGAUAUCUAGUAUUACCGGAAACAUUGAAUUGAAUCAACAGACUUGUCUCCUUACUCUACGAGAUUAUAACAGUCGGGAGAAAUCAGAAGGGUCUACAGAUUUAGUUCAGGCAAAUCCUAAACAAGGGGCUUUAGCAAAGAAGUCAUCUCAAACUAAAAAGAAGAAGAAGCCCUUCAACUCCCAGAAAACAGGGCAGAAUAAAACAGUGCAAUAUCCCAGUGACAUUUUAGAGAAUGCAUCUGUUGAAGUAUAUCUAGAUGCAAAUAAAUUGUCCACGCCUGUAAUAGAACAAGUUGCACAAAGAAAUAAUUCAGAACUUGAGUUGACAUCAGUUGUGGAAAAUACUUUUCCAGCACAAGAUAUUGUGCAAACUGUUACAGUGAAACGGAAACGUGGAAAAUCACAGCCAAACUGUGCUCUGAAAGAACACUCUAUGUCUAACAUAGCCAGUGUCAAGAACUCUUACGAGCUGGAGAGCUCCGGGGAAGAGCUGGAUCAGAGGUAUUCCAAGGCCAAACCAAUGUGUAACACGUGUGGGAAAGUGUUUUCAGAAGCCAGCAGCUUGCGAAGGCACAUGAGAAUACAUAAAGGAGUCAAACCUUAUGUCUGCCACUUGUGUGGAAAGGCAUUUACCCAAUGUAACCAGCUGAAAACGCAUGUAAGAACUCAUACAGGUGAGAAGCCAUACAAAUGUGAAUUGUGUGAUAAAGGAUUUGCUCAGAAAUGCCAGCUAGUCUUCCAUAGUCGCAUGCAUCAUGGUGAGGAAAAACCCUAUAAAUGUGAUGUGUGCAAUUUACAAUUUGCAACUUCUAGCAAUCUCAAGAUUCAUGCAAGGAAGCAUAGUGGAGAGAAGCCAUAUGUAUGUGAUAGGUGCGGACAGCGAUUUGCCCAAGCCAGCACAUUGACCUAUCAUGUUCGAAGGCAUACGGGAGAAAAGCCUUAUGUGUGUGACACCUGUGGGAAGGCAUUUGCUGUCUCUAGUUCUCUUAUUACUCAUUCUCGAAAACAUACCGGUGAAAAACCAUACAUAUGUGGUAUUUGUGGGAAAAGUUUUAUUUCCUCAGGAGAGCUCAACAAACACUUUCGAUCCCAUACAGGAGAAAGACCAUUUAUCUGCGAAUUAUGUGGAAAUUCUUACACAGAUAUUAAAAAUUUAAAGAAGCACAAAACAAAAGUCCAUUCUGAUAAAAUUCUAGAUUCCAGUAUAGAGGAUCAUCCCUUGAGUGAACAAGAUUCCAUACAAAAAAGUCCUUUAUCAGAAACUUUGGAUGUGAAGCCUUCUGAUAUGACUUUACCACUAACUCUUCCACUUGGGACUGAGGACCACCACAUGCUUCUGCCUGUCACAGAUAAUCAGUCUCCUACAUCAGAUACAUUGUUGAGGUCAACUGUGAACGGGUAUUCAGAACCACAAUUGAUUUUUUUACAACAAUUAUACUGACUUUGUGAGGAAUAUGGAAUUGCUAAAUCGUCUCUGGUAGUAAACAUAAACAUCUCUGGAAUUUAUUGGAAUGUGAAGAAAUUAAAGAAAAUUAAGACUCAGCCUUUUUAAGAAGUCUGCUGAAAUGGAGAGGCUAUAUUUAAUUCACAUCUUCAUUAAUCCAAGCAUCUAAUGAACAAAAUUUCUUUUUAAAAACUGCUAUAGUGAUGUCAUAAUUCUGUAAGGGUAGUAUUUACCAAAUUUCCUCUAACAUGAUAAUUAGCAUUUGCCUUUACAUAAAUUAGCCUUUAAAUUUAUUAUUUUUAGGAUUAUUGGAUUGGAGUGACUAAAGUUGAUUUAUUGUCUUUUCUUCAUCACAUUAUCUGCUUCUUAGCUAAAAUAAUUUUAUUUUAAAUUGACAUGGCUUGACGCUCUUCCAGAAUGACAUGUAAAGAAAGCUUGAAGACUGAGUAUCUUUGUCUUGUCAUUCUUCUCAUAAUGCUGUAUUAUUCUUUAUCAUAAUAUGCAUAUAUUUUAGUUGUAUUUGCUAUCAUUGUAACACUCACAAUUAUCAGUUAAAUUCAUCUUUAAAUAUAUUUGCUACAAUGCAGUGUUUUGGGAAAGUUCUAUUAAUUAUGUAAGUAUUGCUAAGUUUUUUUAAAGUCUUUUUAGGAUGCUGAACAUCUUAUUGAGAAAUUAUUUUCUAAAUUAA